GGGAAUGUGGCUCAGUGGUAGAGUGCUUGCCUAGCAAGCAUAAGGCCCUGGAUUCGAUUCCUCAGUACCA
rnacentral:tRNA from 1 species